GUGCGACGUCGACGUGUAAUAAACGCAGUGCUCGCUACGUUUAUCGAUUUUCUGAUUUAGCCUCCCCCGGCAGAUAACGACGACAGCUAUUAUGCGCAUCAUGGUGCUCCAAAGACAGCCAGGGUUGAUGGUGCCGCAGCAGCUCAUGGGAGUACGGAUGGUGGGGGGGAGCAUACGGAGGCAGCUCCAAGGAGCACCCGCCGAGCGCGCCCUGCGUCGGCGCCGACUCCAAGCCCUUGCCUUCGUUGAGCCCGAGGAUGUCCGAGAUCUGGAACCCGGGCCUCUGACCUGGCAUUUUCAUGCUGUCCAGCAACCUGAGACAAGAAAAUAUAUUUUUAUUGAUUGAAAAUAAAACAGGUGUGCAAUUGCAGAUUAUGUAGAACAAUAGCUUUAACUGGAUAUUCGGAUAAAGAUUCGGUGAAGCCGGCAAUACCGGGCAACGGAGGAAGGAAUAUUUAACUUUGUGAG